rnacentral:rRNA from 1 species
UGGGGAAUUUUCCGCAAUGGGCGAGAGCCUGACGGAGCAAUGCCGCGUGGAGGUGGAAGGCCUACGGGUCGUCAACUUCUUUUCUCGGAGAAGAAACAAUGACGGUAUCUGAGGAAUAAGCAUCGGCUAACUCUGUGCCAG